CUGUGGUGACUGAAGGGAGAUCAGUGCAGAUGCGGCUGCCAUUGAGGAUGGCUCUUGAGGACCGAUGGUGAUGCCCAGCAUUUGAACAAUGCUGAGCAGUGUUCCAAGCGGUCCCAAGGGAGCUGGAGGAAGAAAGGGGCAUGCCCCAAGACGGUGUGGAGCCUUGCGGGGAGCAGGUCGCUCGCAUCCAGGAGGAGCAGGGAGAGGUGUGUGGUGGACCUCGGCAUGGGGAGCCAUAGCCCAGCAGUUGGGAUGGGAGAGUGGAGCAGGAAAAGGUUUUGCGGGAAGUUGUGGAGAGAAGUAGUUGAGUGCUGAGAAGAGCCUGAGCAGG